rnacentral:lncRNA from 10 species
CCGCCUGCUGCAGGCCUGUUUCCCCACCUCUGGGCGCUCUCCUGGAUGAUCUACCCUGUUCACAGCAGUGGCUUUAGAACCCUGGGCACCAUGCCAGGGCUCCAGGCAGCCUCACUGUUCAGCUGCAGUGUGGGACCCCCACAGCCUCACCUUGGCCUGUGGCCUCAGGUCCAUGGCCCUGGAGCCCACUUAGGAAGGGCUGUGCCACCUGUGUGGAAACUACUGGUUUUUGGGUCACAAACCAUAUUCCACCAUCAGGGUCACCAUCAUCUUCUCUCAGCUGCCAGUCUUCUCUUUGGACGUACCUCAAAGGAAAGGUGAGAUCAAAGAAAACAAAAUGGAAUAAAAUAAAAUAAAUGGAAGUGCUGAGCCAUCAGUGCCAUUUCUGAGCAAGCACCUUUUUUUUUUAGUUCUAACCCAUUCUGUUGAGAAAAUGUGACUCUGCAAAGACUGGAGAGUGAGAUCUCUGGAAAGUGCUUCCCGUGCAAAACUCCCAUUUUUCAUGUCUCUGAAUCAAUAUUUGUAGAUUGACCCCAUGUGCCGGGGCGAGACACUGCCUCCCGUUGUUCACCUCUGAUCGGAUGCUCCCUUCCUUAUGGAGGCUGCUGGUGCAGGUAAGGGCUUCCUCUCACUUGCUCCCAAGGAGCCCAGAAAGAGUGAUCCCAUCAUGGAGCAGCAGAAAGUUUCCAUUUGUUUGAAGAGGAGAAUAUGCUGGACUCGCUGGAUGAAGCCUUGAGCCGAGAGUCCUGCCCUGUGCCCUGGAGCGGAGCUGAGUGACUCACCCCCUGUUCUCUGCUGGGAGUGGAGGGUCCAUGCGGCUUUCCUCCCUUUCUUUCACCUGGUGUGCAGUUUUACUCACGGCUUCUCUCCUAUCCUCUGACUCAUUGACCUUGAUAGGGAGGGAGGGUUACCUGGAGGCAUUCCAGGAGGCUGACUUCAGCAGUCACCUCCGCCCUGGGCCGCAGGGGCACUGGGGACACCAGUGCGUGACUGCUCCCGGCUUGCUGCUUUCCUUCUCACAUCCACUUUCUAAGGGUAGGCAGUUUUCCUAGGAACUCAGCAAGUCAUACCUUCUCAGAGACUUCUGCAGAGCAGCAAGACAAAGCUUACUCAGAGGCGCCCACAGACCAGGAAGGGCCCCUGUGUGCUGAAAACGGGCCGCCAAAGGAGCCUCUGCCUUCAGCCAGGCUUGGAAGAACACCAGGAAAGCAAAAGGUGGUGGUGGGGACCUUCUCCAUGUUUAUGGGUCUAUGCUGAAAAUCCCAGUACAGAUAUGAGGAAAGAGCCCUCUUAUGGGCAAUGGAAAAGCUUAGAUUGGUUCAAAUAACACAGUGAAGCCUACUGAUUUAAGAUGAUGCUUUGAAUAGAACACUUAAAAUUUAGGUCUUUCCUUAGCCUCUGAGUUGUAUAAACCACAUGAUGUGGGGACUUUGAUGUCCUCCAGUUUCUUUCUGAUUUGAAAUGGAGCUAAUGCUAUCUCCUGCCACCUCCCAGAAGGACACAGAGGAAAUAUAAACAUUGACGUGGUGGUGGCAUCUUAGUAAAAAAAAAAUCACGAGGGUUCAGUUUGCUAAAGCAAGACUUGGAAUGACCUGAUAAAUGGCCAGGAAAGACCAACUGUGGGAAAUAAAUUCCUCUCCAGACUUUAGCUGUUGGGGUUAGGAUUUCCAGUUCAUAGCUUUACUUAGGAAGGUGAGCAG